AUUGAACGCUGGCGGCAGGCCUAACACAUGCAAGUCGAACGAGUGGCGGACGGGUGAGUAAUGUCUGGGCAACUGCCUGAUGGAGGGGGAUAACUACUGGAAACGGUAGCUAAUACCGCAUACCAUCGGAUGUGCCCCGAUGGGAUUAGCUAGUAGGUGGGGUAACGGCUCACCUAGGCGACGAUCCCUAGCUGGUCUGAGAGGAUGACCAGUCACACUGAAACUGAGACACUGUCCAGACUCCGACGGGAGGCAGCAGUGGGGAACAUUGCACAAUGGGCGCAAGCCUGGCGCAGCCAUGCCGCGUGUAUGAAGAAGGCCUUCGGGGUGUAAAGUACUUUCAGCGGGGAGGCGUUACCCGCAGAAGAAGCACCGGCUAACUCCGUGCCAGCAGCCGCGGUAAUAC
rnacentral:rRNA from 1 species